rnacentral:rRNA from 1 species
UGGGGAAUCUUGGACAAUGGGGGCAACCCUGAUCCAGCCAUGCCGCGUGAGUGAUGAAGGCCUUAGGGUCGUAAAGCUCUUUCGCCUGUGAAGAUAAUGACGGUAGCAGGUAAAGAAACCCCGGCUAACUCCGUGCCAGCAGCCGCGGUAAUACGGAGGGGGUUAGCGUUGUUCGGAAUUACUGGGCGUAAAGCGCACGUAGGCGGACCAGAAAGUUGGGGGUGAAAUCCCGGGGGCUCAACCCCGGAACUGCCUCCAAAACUAUUGGUCUAGAGUUCGAGAGAGGUGAGUGGAAUUCCAAGUGUAGAGGUGAAAUUCGUAGAUAUUUGGAGGAACACCAGUGGCGAAGGCGGCUCACUGGCUCGAUACUGACGCUGAGGUGCGAAAGUGUGGGGAGCAAACAGGAUUAGAUACCCUGGUAGUCCACGCCGUAAAACGAUGUCUGCUAGUCGUUGGGGAGCAUAGCUCUUCGGUGACGCAG